rnacentral:rRNA from 1 species
UUGAACGCUGGCGGUAUGCUUAACACAUGCAAGUCGAACGGAAACGAUACUAGCUUGCUAGUAGGCGUCGAGUGGCGGACGGGUGAGUAACGCGUAGGAAUCUACCUGAUAGUGGGGGAUAGCCCGAAGAAAUUCGGAUUAAUACCGCAUAAUCUAUUCGUAGUAAAGUGGGGGACUUUCGAGCCUCACGCUAUCAGAUGAGCCUGCGUAAGAUUAGCUAGUUGGUAGGGUAAAAGCCUACCAAGGCUACGAUCUUUAGCUGGUCUGAGAGGAUGAUCAGCCACAUCGGGACUGAGACACGGCCCGAACUCCUACGGGAGGCAGCAGUGGGGAAUAUUGGACAAUGGGGGCAACCCUGAUCCAGCAAUACCGCGUGUGUGAAGAAGGCCUGAGGGUUGUAAAGCACUUUCAAUUGUGAAGAAAAGCUAGUGGUUAAUAGCCAUUAGCCUUGACGUUAACUUUAGAAGAAGCACCGGCUAACUCCGUGCCAGCAGCCGCGGUAAUACGGAGGGUGCAAGCGUUAAUCGGAAUUACUGGGCGUAAAGCGUGCGUAGGCGGUUUAUUAAGUCAGAUGUGAAAGCCCCGGGCUUAACCUGGGAACUGCAUUUGAAACUGGUCAACUAGAGUAUGGUAGAGGAAAGUGGAAUUUCUGGUGUAGCGGUGAAAUGCGUAGAUAUCAGAAAGGAACAUCAAUGGCGAAGGCAACUUUCUGGACCAAUACUGACGCUGAGGUACGAAAGCGUGGGUAGCAAACAGGAUUAGAUACCCUGGUAGUCCACGCCGUAAACGAUGAUAACUAGCCGUUGGGGGGAUUUACCCCUUAGUGGCGAAGCUAACGCGUUAAGUUAUCCGCCUGGGGAGUACGGCCGCAAGGUUAAAACUCAAAGGAAUUGACGGGGACCCGCACAAGCGGUGGAGCAUGUGGUUUAAUUCGAUGCAACGCGAAGAACCUUACCUGGUCUUGACAUCCUGAGAACUUUCUAGAAAUAGAUUGGUGCCUUCGGGAACUCAGUGACAGGUGCUGCAUGGCUGUCGUCAGCUCGUGUCGUGAGAUGUUGGGUUAAGUCCCGUAACGAGCGCAACCCCUAUCCUUAUUUGCCAGCACAUCAUGGUGGGAACUAUAAGGAGACUGCCGGUGAUAAACCGGAGGAAGGCGGGGACGACGUCAAGUCAUCAUGGCCCUUACGACCAGGGCUACACACGUGCUACAAUGGGAAGGACAAAGAGCCGCGAAGCCGCGAGGUGUAGCUAAUCUCAGAAACCUUUUCGUAGUCCGGAUUGGAGUCUGCAACUCGACUCCAUGAAGCCGGAAUCGCUAGUAAUCGUAGAUCAGAAUGCUACGGUGAAUACGUUCCCGGGUCUUGUACUCACCG